rnacentral:misc_RNA from 1 species
GAUGAAGAACGCAGCGAAAUGCGAUAAGUAAUGUGAAUUGCAGAAUUCAGUGAAUCAUCGAAUCUUUGAACGCACAUUGCGCCCUCUGGUAUUCCGGGGGGCAUGCCUGUUCGAGCGUCAUUAUAACCACUCAAGCUCUCGCUUGGUAUUGGGGCUCGCGGUUCCGCGGCCCCUAAAAUCAGUGGCGGUGCCUGUCGGCUCUACGCGUAGUAAUACUCCUCGAGAUUGAGUCCGGUAGGUCUACUUGCCAGCAACCCCCAAUUUUUACAGGUUGACCUCGGAUCAGGUAGGGAUACCCGCUGAACUUAAGCAUAUCAAUAAGCGGAGGA